rnacentral:misc_RNA from 1 species
UCACAGUUUGCACUGGCAGUCUUGUUAGAGUUCCCGACUUGACUCGCUGGCAACUAACAACAGGGGUUGCGCUCGUUAUAGGACUUAACCUGACACCUCACGGCACGAGCUGACGACAACCAUGCAGCACCUUGAAAAACGUCCGAAGAAGGGCCUGUUUCCAAGCCUGUCGUUUCCCAUUUAAGCCUUGGUAAGGUUCCUCGCGUAUCAUCGAAUUAAACCACAUGCUCCACCGCUUGUGCGGGCCCCCGUCAAUUCCUUUGAGUUUCAAACUUGCGUUCGUACUCCCCAGGUGGGAUACUUAUCACUUUCGCUUAGCCACUGAGGUUGCCCCCAACAGCUAGUAUCCAUCGUUUACGGCGUGGACUAC